rnacentral:lncRNA from 1 species
CCGUCACCGCCGUCGCCCCUCCAACAGCUGCCAACCCCACCGGUGCCUGAGCCAUCGUCACCAACCCUGCCGUCAACCGAGCCACCCGCCGUUGCUCCUUCUACCAUCACCAUGCCCGGCGCCGUCCCUGCCGCCGUCGGCAUAUGCAUCCCCGCCGUUGCCCGAGCUACCGUCGCCAUAUGCAUCCCUGCCGUCACCGCUGCCGCCAUCACCUCUGCCACCGUCGCCAACCCCGCCAUCGCCCUAGCAACCCGACGUCACCCCUUCCAACAUCACCGUCACCGCCGUCGCCCCUCCAACAGCUGCCAACCCCACCGGUGCCUGAGCCAUCGUCACCAACCCUGCCGUCAACCGAGCCACCCGCCGUUGCUCCUUCUACCAUCACCAUGCCCGGCGCCGUCCCUGCC